AGUACGGAAUAAUUGUUGGAAACGGCAACUAAUACCGUAUACGCCCUACGGGGGAAAAAUUUAUUGCUAUUAGAUGAGCCUAUAUUAGAUUAGCUAGUUGGUGGAGUAAUAGCCUACCAAGGCAAUGAUCUAUAGCUGAUCUGAGAGGAUGAUCAGCCACACUGGAACUGAGAUACGGUCCAGACUYCUACGGGAGGCAGCAGUGGGGAAUAUUGGACAAUGGGCGAAAGCCUGAUCCAGCCAUGCCGCAUGAGUGAAGAAGGCCUUUGGGUUGUAAAGCUCUUUUAGUGAGGAAGAUAAUGACGGUACUCACAGAAGAAGUCCUGGCUAACUCCGUGCCAGCAGCCGCGGUAAUACGGAGAGGGCUAGCGUUAUUCGGAAUUAUUGGGCGUAAAGGGCGCGUAGGCUGGUUAAUAAGUUAAAAGUGAAAUCCCGAGGCUUAACCUUGGAAUUGCUUUUAAAACUAUUAAUCUAGAGAUUGAAAGAGGAUAGAGGAAUUCCUGAUGUAGAGGUAAAAUUCGUAAAUAUUAGGAGGAACACCAGUGGCGAAGGCGUCUAUCUGGUUCAAAUCUGACGCUGAAGCGCGAAGGCGUGGGGAGCAAACAGGAUUAGAUACCCUGGUAGUCCACGCUGUAAACGAUGAAUGUUAAAUAUGGGAAGUUUACUUUCUGUAUUACAGCUAACGCGUUAAACAUUCCGCCUGGGGACUACGGUCGCAAGAUUAAAACUCAAAGGAAUUGACGGGGACCCGCACAAGCGGUGGAGC
rnacentral:rRNA from 1 species